rnacentral:rRNA from 1 species
UACGUAGGAGGCGAGCGUUGUCCGGAGUUACUGGGCGUAAAGGGUGCGUAGGCGGGCAGGUAAGUCCGUGGUGAAAUCUCUGAGCUUAACUCAGAAACUGCCAUGGAUACUAUUUGUCUUGAAUGUUGUGGAGGUAAGCGGAAUAUGUCAUGUAGCGGUGAAAUGCUUAGAUAUGACAUAGAACACCAAUUGCGAAGGCAGCUUACUACACAAAUAUUGACGCUGAGGCACGAAAGCGUGGGGAUCAAACAGG